rnacentral:rRNA from 1 species
AUUGAACGCUGGCGGCAUGCCUUACACAUGCAAGUCGAACGGCAGCACGGGGGCAACCCUGGUGGCGAGUGGCGAACGGGUGAGUAAUGCAUCGGAACGUGCCCAGUAGUGGGGGAUAACCAGUCGAAAGACUGGCUAAUACCGCAUACGACCCAAGGGUGAAAGCGGGGGACCGUAAGGCCUCGCGCUAUUGGAGCGGCCGAUGUCUGAUUAGCUAGUUGGCGGGGUAAGAGCCCACCAAGGCGACGAUCAGUAGCUGGUCUGAGAGGACGACCAGCAACACUGGGACUGAGUCACGGCCCAGACUCCUACGGGAGGCAGCAGUGGGGAAUUUUGGACAAUGGGCGCAAGCCUGAUUCAGCCAUGCCGCGUGCGGGAAGAAGGCCUUCGGGUUGUAAACCGCUUUUGGCAGGAACGAAACGGCGCAGGCCAAUACCUUGCGCUAAUGACGGUACCUGCAGAAUAAGCACCGGCUAACUACGUGCCAGCCGCCGCAGUAAGAC